UACGAAGGGGGCUAGCGUUGUUCGGAAUUACUGGGCGUAAAGCGCGCGCAGGCGGUCUUCCAAGUCAGUGGUGAAAGCCCGGAGCUCAACUCGGAAAGGGCAACUGAUACUGUGCGACUAGAGUGCAGAAGGGGCAACUGGAAUUCUCGGUGUAGCGGUGAAAUGCGUAGAUAUCGAGAGGAACACCUGCGGCGAAGGCGGGUUGCUGGGCUGACACUGACGCUGAGGCGCGAAAGCCAGGGGAGCGAACGGG
rnacentral:rRNA from 1 species